rnacentral:rRNA from 1 species
UACGUAGGGGGCUAGCGUUGUCCGGAAUCAUUGGGCGUAAAGCGCGUGUAGGCGGUCCGGUAAGUCCGCUGUGAAAGUCGGGGGCUCAACCCUCGAAAGCCGGUGGAAACUGUCGGGCUAGAGUGCGGAAGAGGCGAGUGGAAUUCCUGGUGUAGCGGUGAAAUGCGCAGAUAUCAGGAGGAACACCGAUGGCGAAGGCAGGUCUCUGGGCCACUACUGACGCUGAGAAGCGAAAGCAUGGGGAGCGAACAGG